UACGUAGGGGGCAAGCGUUGUCCGGAAUCAUUGGGCGUAAAGAGCGUGUAGGCGGUUCAGUAAGUCUGCUGUGAAAGUCCAGGGCUCAACCCUGGGAUGCCGGUGGAUACUGCUGGGCUAGAGUACGGAAGAGGCGAGUGGAAUUCCCGGUGUAGCGGUGAAAUGCGCAGAUAUCGGGAGGAACACCUAUUGCGAAGGCAGCUCGCUGGGACGUUACUGACGCUGAGGCGCGAAAGCGUGGGGAGCAAACAGG
rnacentral:rRNA from 1 species